UACGUAGGGUGCAAGCGUUGUCCGGAAUUAUUGGGCGUAAAGAGCUCGUAGGCGGUUUGUCGCGUCGUCCGUGAAAACUCACAGCUUAACUGUGAGCUUGCGGUCGAUACGGGCAGACUAGAGUGCGGUAGGGGAGACUGGAAUUCCUGGUGUAGCGGUGAAAUGCGCAGAUAUCAGGAGGAACACCGGUGGCGAAGGCGGGUCUCUGGGCCGUAACUGACGCUGAGGAGCGAAAGCGUGGGGAGCGAACAGG
rnacentral:rRNA from 1 species